rnacentral:ncRNA from 1 species
GCGUCCGGGGGUGCCGUUAAGGCUGAGAUUAAACCCCAGAACCUGAUCCGGAUAAUGCCGGCGGAGGGAGGAUUUCAU